rnacentral:sRNA from 1 species
GCAGGAGCCAAGGAGGAAUGGUAAAGCACUUUGAUUUUCCCGUUCUUCCUGCAAGUCGGUUGUGGCUUACUUAAGCAUUAUUGGGGAGGAAGAGCUGUCAGACCAAGUUUUACAAGAGCAUUGCAAAAACAACCGUAAAAUACCACUGCGUACUUUAAAACUGGACUGGAUGUCUGACUGUGCAUCUAGAUUUUUAAACAAGUCUAAGGCACACAACUGCAAAUAUAUAAUUAACGAAUUGGAGAACGUGGACACAUGCCCAAAUGAUACAAAGAGAGGAAUUUGAUGUCACGGUGUGGAGUGGCACCUUUCAAUUCCAUCCAGAGAGUGCCUGUAGCUGAGUGUCUCAGGAGAGACCUAACACCCAUUAACAGCAAUGGGAAAACACAGAGGAUGGAGUUUGGCAGCCAGGGACCACCAGACCUCUGAAUGAAGAAAGAGUAUCCGGAAAGGACCACAGGAGCAGAUUGCCUUACAGAAUGAAGUCUGGAUCCAGAUAAUGCAACAGUGGCUGCCUUCUUACCAGAGAGGCCAAGAGUUGCUCUUUACAGAAGUCUUGAUGUCUCAGUGUCUCCCUUCUGUUGUGUGGGAAGGCCUGGAGGGUUCCUUCACAAUCACGCUCUUCAGUCCAUGCUGUAAAGCCAGAGAACCCGGGUUCUAAUAUCAGUGAUGGACACAG